UACGUCAGCGGCAGACGGGUGAGUAACGCGUGGGAACGUACCUUUUGGUUCGGAACAACACAGGGAAACUUGUGCUAAUACCGGAUAAGCCCUUACGGGGAAAGAUUUAUCGCCGAAAGAUCGGCCCGCGUCUGAUUAGCUAGUUGGUAGGGUAAUGGCCUACCAAGGCGACGAUCAGUAGCUGGUCUGAGAGGAUGAUCAGCCACAUUGGGACUGAGACACGGCCCAAACUCCUACGGGAGGCAGCAGUGGGGAAUAUUGGACAAUGGGGGCAACCCUGAUCCAGCCAUGCCGCGUGAGUGAUGAAGGCCCUAGGGUUGUAAAGCUCUUUUGUGCGGGAAGAUAAUGACGGUACCGCAAGAAUAAGCCCCGGCUAACUUCGUGCCAGCAGCCGCGGUAAUACGAAGGGGGCUAGCGUUGCUCGGAAUCACUGGGCGUAAAGGGUGCGUAGGCGGGUCUUUAAGUCAGGGGUGAAAUCCUGGAGCUCAACUCCAGAACUGCCUUUGAUA
rnacentral:rRNA from 1 species